CAGCAGCCGCGGUAAUACGGAGGGUGCAAGCGUUAAUCGGAAUUACUGGGCGUAAAGCGCACGCAGGCGGUCUGACAAGUCAGAUGUGAAAUCCCCGGGCUUAACCUGGGAACCGCAUUUGAAACUGUCAGGCUGGAGUCUUGUAGAGGGGGGUAGAAUUCCAGGUGUAGCGGUGAAAUGCGUAGAGAUCUGGAGGAAUACCGGUGGCGAAGGCGGCCCCCUGGACAAAGACUGACGCUCAGGUGCGAAAGCGUGGGGAGCAAACAGGAUUAGAUACCCCGGUAGUCCCUGUCUCUUAUAC
rnacentral:rRNA from 1 species